ensembl:lncRNA
GUACAUCUUUCCUUUUCCUUUGGCCCAGAAAGCAAAUGGGGUCGUCAGGCUCCCGAGGCGACACUCUUCUAAAACGGUGUAGGGAUCUGAUCACCGCCCCGGGUCCCCACACGCCCUCCUGGUGCCGGCGGGGUGCGUGCGCCUCGACCCAGGAGCCCCGGGCGCCUUCGGGCCUCGCGGCCCUGGCCCAGGGGGAGCGCUCGGCGGAUGUCGCCGCGCCUCAGACGCUGCAGUGCGGGAGCGACACCCCUACACCCGCCUUAGAUGGUGGGGGCAGGCGCGACCUUGGCGUGAACGGUUGCUGGUUUCCAGAGUUCUAGAAUACGAAGGACCAGGCAGCCGCGUCUGUACGGGGCUGGCGGGGUUGCAAGCCGUUUUAGGUCCCGUUUGCUCCGAAAAGCUUCGGCCGCCGAGAUCCUCAGGCAGCCUGAUGCCACAAUGGUGUGGGACGAGACUCCAGGAUCUUCUUUCUGCUUAGCCGCGUCCCCCGCCGCAGUGCAGAAUAAAGCUGAGAGGCGCCGACCGGUUGACCAUUGCAGCCGACUGGUCUACGCUCCGGAUUCGCAUUGGAUUCAUCCAGACCGCCAAGAGAUGAAUUCAGGGUGUGCUCUCUUAAGUCUGCCAACUGAGAGCUCCGGGAUUGCCAUCGCCCCUCUUCGCACUGAGCCAUUGUGCUACCCUGCGCCGCAGUAACCACUGCUUUUUAGUUUUGUUUUCUCGCAUUAGGGGAGCAUCUCUGUGCAUUUGUGGAAGUAUUCUGCUUUAGGCCAAACCUAUACACACAGUAUCACUUUAAACAGUUUUAUGCUGUCAUCUUGUGCAAAGGUCCUCUCCCACCCGUACACAAAGACACUGGGGUGGGGGUGGGGAGGCCCCAUCCCUUAUUCAUAACUAGCUUGCUCAGUCCGUGGGCAUUUGAAUGGGGUGAUGCGAGACCUCCGUUUGAUCUCUCAAAGACCGUUAGGCAGAACGCAGAUCAUAUGCGGUGACUUUGGGGGCGCUAGCGUGGCCCCUCCAUCCGCUCCCUGAAAGUUUAGACCCAGUGCUUAAACACAAACUCCAAAAGAGCACUUGCCGGCUUUUCAGGACAGAGACUUUAUUUUUUAUUACAACGUGGAGGUGUAGAAAGGUAAACUCUGCGCCACAGAGGGAGGACUAUUUUCCCCUUUGAAAUAGCUUGCAAAACGGGUCGUCGUCCUUGGACCAGCAGGUUUUCAAAAGCAUGUUCUUCUGCAGCGGCAAAAGGGGAAAAACAACAACAACAACAACAACGUUGCAAAAAGAACUCAAGAAAGCCCCCAUUUCUCGAACCAGUUCCAAUGCCCUACCUCCAACUCCUUCAGCCAGUGGCCGCAGGGCCUGGCUCCCCCCAACUUAAAAGCUCUUCUCGCGCCGGGACCCUAGUGCACCCGCAGCGCUCAGAUAGGUUCCGGAUAUCCCCGAGCCGUGUUUCUGUGGCCAAGUGUGGGAAUGAAAGCCGCCUCGGGCCCGGUGCCGCCAAAUCGGGCCUGGAGGGAGGGGGGAAAAGAGUUGAAGGGGAACUGCCACCCGCCUCGCCCAGAGGCACCCUCACGCUCAUCCGCGCAGGUCCUCCCUUCCCCGCCCCGCGGGCGCUGCCGCGUCCCGAGUGCUGCAGUCC